UCGCGUGCGUGGGAGGCGGCGGACUGCUCGGGGGUCUCGCAGCGGCCCAGCGUCCCGGCGAUCGUCUCGUCGGCGCGGAGCCCA
rnacentral:tRNA from 1 species